UACGUAGGAGGCAAGCGUUGUCCGGAAUUACUGGGUGUAAAGCGCGUGUAGGCGGCAGGCCAAGUCUGUGGUGAAAUCGCUCGGCUCAACUGGGCGGGGUCCAUGGAAACUGGUCAGCUGGAGGACGGUAGAGGUGAGUGGAAUUCCCGGUGUAGUGGUGAAAUGCGUAGAGAUCGGGAGGAACACCCGUGGCGAAGGCGGCUCACUGGGCCGGUCCUGACGCUGAGACGCGAAGGCGUGGGGGAGCGAACGGGG
rnacentral:rRNA from 1 species